rnacentral:lncRNA from 1 species
ACGUCAUAACUGUUGCCGAAUCAAUUUUGUUGUCUGUUGCAAAUCAAGAAAAAAAAUUAACGUGUGAUGAAAAUAAUGUUGAAGAUACGACAGAUGUUACCGUGUCAGGUGAUGGCACGUGGAAAAAACGUGGGUUUGCAUCAUUAUACGGUAUGAAUCUGUCAUGAGUUAUCCUGACUACGCCGAGAGAACUUUUUUUUGAGGGGUCAUAGCAGACGACGUGUCCACGCCUUAAUUUUCAAUAUUUUUCAAUGAAAAUUUCACAAACUACUUAUAAAAUAUGUAUCUUUUAUGUGUUAAAUUGAUGGAAUGAAAUAUUCUGUUGAUUAAGUAAAAAAAAAUUCAUAAAAAUGUA